rnacentral:rRNA from 1 species
CCUACGGGAGGCAGCAGUGAGGAAUAUUGGUCAAUGGCCGAGAGGCUGAACCAGCCAAGUCGCGUGAGGGAAGACGGCCCUACGGGUUGUAAACCUCUUUUGUCGGGAGCAAAGCGAGUCACGUGGGAAUCAUUGAAAGUACCCGAAGUAAAAGCAUCGGCUAACUGCGUGCCAGCAGCCGCGGUAAGACGGAGGACGCGAGCGUUGUGCGGAUUUAUUGGUGUUAAAGGGUGCGCAGGCGGAGGGGCAAGUCAGCGGUCAAAUGGUGGGGGUCAACCCCGUACUGCCGUUGAAACUGCAUCCCUUGAGUGCGCGAGAGGUAUGUGGAAUGCGUGGUGUAGCGGUGAAAUGCAUAGAUAUCACGCAGAACUCCGAUUGCGAAGGCAGCAUACCGGCGCGCAACUGACGCUCAUGCACGAAAGCGUGGGUAUCGAACAGGAUUAGAUACCCUGGUAGUC